UACGUAGGGUGCAAGCGUUAAUCGGAAUUACUGGGCGUAAAGCGUGCGCAGGCGGUUGUGCAAGACAGAUGUGAAAUCCCCGGGCUUAACCUGGGAACUGCAUUUGUGACUGCACGGCUAGAGUGUGUCAGAGGGGGGUAGAAUUCCACGUGUGAGCAGUGAAAUGCGUAGAUAUGUGGAGGAAUACCGAUGGCGAAGGCAGCCCCCUGGGAUAACACUGACGCCUCAUGCACGAAAGCGUGGGGAGCAAACAGG
rnacentral:rRNA from 1 species